rnacentral:rRNA from 1 species
UGCGAAGCUGACGGACACGCCGCGUGAGGGAUGAAGGCCUCUGGGCUGUAAACCUCUUUUCUCAAGGAAGAAGACCUGACGGUACUUGAGGAAUAAGCCACGGCUAAUUCCGUGCCAGCAGCCGCGGUAAUACGGGAGUGGCAAGCGUUAUCCGGAAUUAUUGGGCGUAAAGCGUCCGCAGGCGGCCUUGAAAGUCUGUCGUUAAAGCGUGGAGCUUAACUCCAUUUAAGCGAUGGAAACUACAAGGCUUGAGUGUGGUAGGGGCAGAGGGAAUUCCCGGUGUAGCGGUGAAAUGCGUAGAUAUCGGGAAGAACACCAGUGGCGAAGGCGCUCUGCUGGGCCAUAACUGACGCUCAUGGACGAGAGCCAGGGGAGCGAAAGGGAUUAGAUACCCCUGUAGUCCUGGCCGUAAACGAUGAACACUAGGUGUCGGGGGAAUCGACCCCCUCGGUGUCGUAGCCAACGCGUUAAGUGUUCCGCCUGGGGAGUACGCACGCAAGUGUGAAACUCAAAGGAAUUGACGGGGGCCCGCACAAGCGGUGGAGUAUGUGGUUUAAUUCGAUGCAACGCGAAGAAACUUACCAGGGUUUGACAUCCUGCGAAUCCCUUGGAAACGA